CGUGCAGGCGGCUCGCUAAGUCUGAUGUGAAAGCCCCGGGCUCAACCCGGGAAGUGCAUUGGAAACUGGCGAACUUGAGUAUGGGAGAGGGGAAGUGGAAUUCCGAGUGUAGGGGUGAAAUCCGUAGAUAUUCGGAGGAACACCAGUGGCGAAGGCGGCUUCCUGGACCAAUACUGACGCUGAGACGCGAAAGCGUGGGGAGCAAACAG
rnacentral:rRNA from 1 species